GGCUACGUAUCUGUCUCAGGAACAAUAGGUACCUGUAUUCUGCCCGGACUGUUGGGCAGGCAUUCACAAUCUGGAAAAGGUCUGCCUCUGUGAGAGGUUUCUCCCUGAGAAUCCCUAAUGACAGUCCCACUUUUCGUGGGGGUUGGGUGGGUGGAAAUCCCAGCUCCUACUUCCCGUGAGGGGGCAGAGCUUUGAUCAUUGCUAUUCAGCCCUGACUUGGGUCUGAGUCUGAGGUUCUCAGUCUAGAAGUCAGCAGGCUGCCUUUUCAGUUACUUCAACAGAGGCAGGCACGCACACAGCACAUGCUCUCUCUCUCUCUCUCAUAUGCGUGUGCACACUCAUACACACUCAUCUCUCUUUGCUGGGCUGUGCAGGCAGCUUGGUGUCAGAGCCACAGCUGAGGCACAGUCCAAUGAGCAUAGCUGCAACCAGCCUUCAUGGUGGGCAAGAGAAACUGAUGACAACAAUGGAGAAGACUCGCUCCGGUGACAAGUUUAGAAACUACCCGUCUAUUGAACGACUCAUUGAUUCUUCUGAGGUGAAUCCGCUUAGAGCCAAAUGGCUAUAGGAAAUCAGUUCAUAUAUUCUGGCUGAAGGCAAUUCGGAAUGAGACUGCUUCCUUCAGGAUUUAACACAGGUUUCCAGAAUUUCUGCUAAACUGAGAGAUCUUUGUAAUGCAAAUAUAAAUGGUGGGAGUCCACAGAGCAAAUUUAUAUUUAGCCCCAACCAUGAAUGUGUCCAGUAUCAUUCAAUUUUAUUACAAGUGGAUGAUUGAUCGUGCCCGCCAGCUGCCUAAUAUCAUAAUUAACAAAGUUGCUACCGUGUCUGAGAAGUUUAAUCGAAAAAAAUUGCUAGCAGUCCGAUGCUGUUGA
rnacentral:lncRNA from 11 species